AUUGAACGCUAGCGGGAUGCCUUACACAUGCAAGUCGAACGGCAGCACGGACUUCGGUCUGGUGGCGAGUGGCGAACGGGUGAGUAAUGUAUCGGAACGUGCCCAGUAGCGGGGGAUAACUACGCGAAAGCGUAGCUAAUACCGCAUACGCCCUACGGGGGAAAGCAGGGGAUCGCAAGACCUUGCACUAUUGGAGCGGCCGAUAUCGGAUUAGCUAGUUGGUGGGGUAACGGCUCACCAAGGCGACGAUCCGUAGCUGGUUUGAGAGGACGACCAGCCACACUGGGACUGAGGCACGGCCCAGACUCCUACGGGAGGCAGCAGUGGGGAAUUUUGGACAAUGGGGGAAACCCUGAUCCAGCCAUCCCGCGUGUGCGAUGAAGGCCUUCGGGUUGUAAAGCACUUUUGGCAGGAAAGAAACGUCGCGGGUUAAUACCCCGCGAAACUGACGGUACCUGCAGAAUAAGCACCGGCUAACUACGUG
rnacentral:rRNA from 1 species